CAGCCGCCGCGGUAAUACGGAGGGUGCAAGCGUUAAUCGGAAUUACUGGGCGUAAAGCGCACGCAGGCGGUCUGUCAAGUCGGAUGUGAAAUCCCCGGGCUCAACCUGGGAACUGCAUUCGAAACUGGCAGGCUAGAGUCUUGUAGAGGGGGGUAGAAUUCCAGGUGUAGCGGUGAAAUGCGUAGAGAUCUGGAGGAAUACCGGUGGCGAAGGCGGCCCCCUGGACAAAGACUGACGCUCAGGUGCGAAAGCGUGGGGAGCAAACAGGAUUAGAUACCCCUGUAGUCCCUGUCUAUUAUAC
rnacentral:rRNA from 1 species